rnacentral:rRNA from 1 species
GGGUUGUGAGGUUAAGCGACUAAGCGUACACGGUGGAUGCCCUGGCAGUCAGAGGCGAUGAAGGGCGUGCUAAUCUGCGAUAAGCGCCGGUAAGGUGAUAUGAACCGUUAUAACCGGCGAUACCCGAAUGGGGAAACCCAGUGUGACUCGUCACACUAUCAUUAACUGAAUCCAUAGGUUAAUGAGGCGAACCGGGGGAACUGAAACAUCUAAGUACCCCGAGGAAAAGAAAUCAACCGAGAUUCCCCCAGUAGCGGCGAGCGAACGGGGAGGAGCCCAGAGCCUGAAUCAGCAUGUGUGUUAGUGGAAGCGUCUGGAAAGGCGCGCGAUACAGGGUGACAGCCCCGUACACAAAAGCGCAUGUGCUGUGAGCUCGAUGAGUAGGGCGGGACACGUGGUAUCCUGUCUGAAUAUGGGGGGACCAUCCUCCAAGGCUAAAUACUCCUGACUGACCGAUAGUGAACCAGUACCGUGAGGGAAAGGCGAAAAGAACCCCGGCGAGGGGAGUGAAAAAGAACCUGAAACCGUGUACGUACAAGCAGUGGGAGCCCCACCACUAAGCCAGUGGUGAACUCCACAUACGCAUCCUUUGCUGAGGAUACGGUUAACGGAGCGAAAGCGACGUUCAACCGCAAAAGAAGCAGAGGGGGCUUAGUGGUGGGGUGACUGCGUACCUUUUGUAUAAUGGGUCAGCGACUUAUAUUCUGUAGCAAGGUUAACCGAAUAGGGGAGCCGGAGGGAAACCGAGUCUUAAUUGGGCGUUAAGUUGCAGGGUAUAGACCCGAAACCCGGUGAUCUAGCCAUGGGCAGGUUGAAGGUUGGGUAACACUAACUGGAGGACCGAACCGACUAAUGUUGAAAAAUUAGCGGAUGACCUGUGGCUGGGGGUGAAAGGCCAAUCAAACCGGGAGAUAGCUGGUUCUCCCCGAAAGCUAUUUAGGUAGCGCCUCGUGAAUUCAUCUCCGGGGGUAGAGCACUGUUUCGGCUAGGGGGCCAUCCCGGCUUACCAACCCGAUGCAAACUGCGAAUACCGGAGAAUGUUAUCACGGGAGACACACGGCGGGUGCUAACGUCCGUCGUGAAGAGGGAAACAACCCAGACCGCCAGCUAAGGUCCCAAAGUCAUGGUUAAGUGGGAAACGAUGUGGGAAGGCCCAGACAGCCAGGAUGUUGGCUUAGAAGCAGCCAUCAUUUAAAGAAAGCGUAAUAGCUCACUGGUCGAGUCGGCCUGCGCGGAAGAUGUAACGGGGCUAAACCAUGCACCGAAGCUGCGGCAGCGACACUCAGGUGUUGUUGGGUAGGGGAGCGUUCUGUAAGCCUGCGAAGGUGGCCUGUGAGGGUUGCUGGAGGUAUCAGAAGUGCGAAUGCUGACAUAAGUAACGAUAAAGCGGGUGAAAAGCCCGCUCGCCGGAAGACCAAGGGUUCCUGUCCAACGUUAAUCGGGGCAGGGUGAGUCGACCCUAAGGCGAGGCCGAAAGGCGUAGUCGAUGGGAAACGGGUUAAUAUUCCCGUACUUGGUGUUACUGCGAAGGGGGGACGGAGAAGGCUAUGUUGGCCGGGCGACGGUUGUCCCGGUUUAAGCGUGUAGGUGUGUGUUCCAGGUAAAUCCGGUUCACUUUAACACUGAGGCGUGAUGACGAGGCACUACGGUGCUGAAGCAACAAAUGCCCUGCUUCCAGGAAAAGCCUCUAAGCAUCAGGUAACAUCAAAUCGUACCCCAAACCGACACAGGUGGUCAGGUAGAGAAUACCAAGGCGCUUGAGAGAACUCGGGUGAAGGAACUAGGCAAAAUGGUGCCGUAACUUCGGGAGAAGGCACGCUGACACGUAGGUGAAGUGAUUUACUCAUGGAGCUGAAGUCAGUCGAAGAUACCAGCUGGCUGCAACUGUUUAUUAAAAACACAGCACUGUGCAAACACGAAAGUGGACGUAUACGGUGUGACGCCUGCCCGGUGCCGGAAGGUUAAUUGAUGGGGUCAGCGCAAGCGAAGCUCCUGAUCGAAGCCCCGGUAAACGGCGGCCGUAACUAUAACGGUCCUAAGGUAGCGAAAUUCCUUGUCGGGUAAGUUCCGACCUGCACGAAUGGCGUAAUGAUGGCCAGGCUGUCUCCACCCGAGACUCAGUGAAAUUGAACUCGCUGUGAAGAUGCAGUGUACCCGCGGCAAGACGGAAAGACCCCGUGAACCUUUACUAUAGCUUGACACUGAACAUUGAGCCUUGAUGUGUAGGAUAGGUGGGAGGCUUUGAAGUGUGGACGCCAGUCUGCAUGGAGCCGGCCUUGAAAUACCACCCUUUAAUGUUUGAUGUUCUAACGUGGACCCGUAAUCCGGGUUGCGGACAGUGUCUGGUGGGUAGUUUGACUGGGGCGGUCUCCUCCUAAAGAGUAACGGAGGAGCACGAAGGUUGGCUAAUCCUGGUCGGACAUCAGGAGGUUAGUGCAAUGGCAUAAGCCAGCUUGACUGCGAGCGUGACGGCGCGAGCAGGUGCGAAAGCAGGUCAUAGUGAUCCGGUGGUUCUGAAUGGAAGGGCCAUCGCUCAACGGAUAAAAGGUACUCCGGGGAUAACAGGCUGAUACCGCCCAAGAGUUCAUAUCGACGGCGGUGUUUGGCACCUCGAUGUCGGCUCAUCACAUCCUGGGGCUGAAGUAGGUCCCAAGGGUAUGGCUGUUCGCCAUUUAAAGUGGUACGCGAGCUGGGUUUAGAACGUCGUGAGACAGUUCGGUCCCUAUCUGCCGUGGGCGCUGGAGAACUGAGGGGGCUGCUCCUAGUACGAGAGGACCGGAGUGGACGCAUCACUGGUGUUCGGGUUGUCAUGCCAAUGGCACUGCCCGGUAGCUAAAUGCGGAAGAGAUAAGUGCUGAAAGCAUCUAAGCACGAAACUUGCCCCGAGAUGAGUUCUCCCUGAGACUUAGAGUCUCCUGAAGGAACGUUGAAGACGACGACGUUGAUAGGCCGGGUGUGUAAGCGCAGCGAUGCGUUGAGCUAACCGGUACUAAUGAACCGUGAGGCUUAACCUUACAACGCCGAAG